rnacentral:rRNA from 1 species
GACGAACGCUGGCGGCGUGCUUAACACAUGCAAGUCGAGCGGAAAGGCCCUUCGGGGUACUCGAGCGGCGAACGGGUGAGUAACACGUGAGUAACCUGCCCCAGACUUUGGGAUAACCCUCGGAAACGGGGGCUAAUACCGGAUACGACACAGCUUCGCAUGGGGUCUGUGUGGAAAGUUUUUCGGUUUGGGAUGGGCUCGCGGCCUAUCAGCUUGUUGGUGGGGUGAUGGCCUACCAAGGCGACGACGGGUAGCCGGCCUGUGAGGGCGACCGGCCACACUGUUCCUGAGACACGGACUAGACUCUUACGGGAGCCAGAAGUGGGGAAUAUUGCUCCCUGCGGGGAAGCCGGAUGCCGCGACGCCUCGUGCGGGAUCAGGGCCCUCGGGCUGUAAGCGUCGUGGGGCAGGGACGAGGCGUGAGUGACGGUACCUUCACAAGGAGCGCCGGCUAGUUUCGUG